ensembl:rRNA predicted gene, 25329
UAUGGUGAUAAUGCCCUGAACAUGCCCCAUCUCAUCUGAUCUUGGAAGCAAAGCAGAAUCAAGCCUGCUUACUAUUUGGAUGGAAAGAAAAUUGUUCCUUCCCUAACUGCAUAUGAGGUUAUAUAU